ensembl:snoRNA
AGCGAGGCUAGAGUCACGCUUGGACACGUCCCAUUGUCUCGGUGUGCUAGAGUGCUCGUAGAGAAAAUAUCUUUGCUUAUUCAUUGGCUGUAGUCUUGUUGUGACCCAGUCAAUCACCAACUCAGAUACAUCA